ACGAACGCUGGCGGCGUGCUUAAUGAAUGCGAGUCGAGCGAGAUCCGGUGGAUAGAGGCUUCGGCUAAUAGAAUCCGGUGACAGCGGCAAAUGGGUGAGUAACACGUGGGUAACGUGCCCCUCAGUCGGGAACAACAGCGGGAAACCGCUGCUAAUGCCCGAUAGUCUGAGAGAGCCACAUGGCUUUUUUAGUAAAGCUCCGGCGCUGAGGGAUCGGCCCGCGGCGGAUUAGCUUGUUGGUGAGGUAACGGCUCACCAAGGCGACGAUCCGUAGCCGGUCUGAGAGGAUGGCCGGUCACACUGGGACUGAGACAUGGUCCAGACUCCUACGGGAGUUAGCAUCAGGGAAUCUUGCGCAAUGGGCGAAAGCCUGACGCAGCGACGCCGCGUGAGGGACGAAGGCCUGCGGGUCGUAAACCUCUGUCAGAAGGGACGAACACAAUGACGGUACCUUCUGAGGAAGCCCCGGCUAAUUACGU
rnacentral:rRNA from 1 species